GACAGAGGGUGCAAACGUUGCUCGGAUUUACUGGGCGUAAAGCGCGUGUAGGCGGGCGACUAAGUCGGAUGUGAAAUCCCUGGGCUCAACCUAGGAACUGCAUUCGAAACUGGUCACCUAGAGUGAUGGAGAGGAAAGCGGAAUUCCCGGUGUAGAGGUGAAAUUCGUAGAUAUCGGGAGGAACACCAGUGGCGAAGGCGGCUUUCUGGACAGUUCCUGACGCUGAGGCACGAAGGUCAGGGGAGCAAACGGG
rnacentral:rRNA from 1 species